GUCUCCUUGGUGUAGUUGGUUAUCACGUGGGUCUCAUAGCUACCACACUAUGACUGCUGUUACAGUAGGAAUCCCAAGGCCGCCAGUUCGAGUCUGGCAGGGGACA